rnacentral:rRNA from 1 species
AUUGAACGCUGGCGGAAUGCUUUACACAUGCAAGUCGAACGGCAGCACGGACUUCGGUCUGGUGGCGAGUGGCGAACGGGUGAGUAAUGUAUCGGAACGUGCCCAGUCGUGGGGGAUAACGUAGUGAAAAUUACGCUAAUACCGCAUACGAUCUAUGGAUGAAAGCGGGGGAUCGCAAGACCUCGCGCGAUUGGAGCGGCCGAUAUCAGAUUAGGUAGUUGGUGGGGUAAAGGCCCACCAAGCCAACGAUCUGUAGCUGGUCUGAGAGGACGACCAGCCACACUGGAACUGAGACACGGUCCAGACUCCUACGGGAGGCAGCAGUGGGGAAUUUUGGACAAUGGGCGAAAGCCUGAUCCAGCCAUUCCGCGUGCAGGAUGAAGGCCCUCGGGUUGUAAACUGCUUUUGUACAGAACGAAAAGGUUUCUACUAAUACUAGGAGCUCAUGACGGUACUGUAAGAAUAAGCACCGGCUAANUANGUGCCAGCAGCCGCAGUAA